rnacentral:tRNA from 1 species
UGGCUUAGUCUGUAGAGCAUGAGACUCUUAAUCUCAGGGUUGUGAGUUCAAGACCCAC